CCUACGGGAGGCAGCAGUGAAGAAUUUUCCGCAAUGGGCUAACGCCUGACGGAGCAACGCCGCGUGGAGGAUGACGGCCUGUGGGUUGUAAACUCCUUUUAUCAGAGAAGAAGAUCUGACGGUAUCUGAUGAAUAAGCAUCGGCUAACUCUGUGCCAGCAGCCGCGGUAAUACAGGGGAUGCAAGCGUUAUCCGGAUUGAUUGGGCGUAAAGCGUCCUGAGGUGGCUUACCCAGUCGACUGUGAAAGCUCAGGGCUUAACCUUGAAACUGCAGUCGAAAC
rnacentral:rRNA from 1 species